AUGGAUCUGGAGGCGCCUCAGGGCGAGACCCCCGAUGCCGGGCUCAUGGGAGGGGGGGGGGGGAAGAUCCCCAUGGAUUCUGUUGAGGGGGAUCGCGGCAGGCUUGGCCCCCAGCCGGAUACUGCGCCGGAACCUCCCGUGGUUCCGGAUUCAGGCAGGCAGCCCCCCGCCAAGGGGGGCGAGCCGCCUGUGACGAUGACCUCUGUCCAUCCAGAGGCAUCGGAUAACUUGGUGGAAGCGCUUCAGAGCGCUUCCCUUGAUGAAGGACAUUGUACUCUUAUGAGUACGGUGAUUGCGAAGGUUCAGACCGCCAAAAGCGGAUUGACCGAAGCCUGUGUCAGCCUCCUGACAGGCUUUAAGGUAAGUAAUUUGAAUUAUGAGAAAGUAUGA
rnacentral:rRNA from 1 species